rnacentral:rRNA from 1 species
GACGUAGGGUGCGAGCGUUGUCCGGAUUUAUUGGGCGUAAAGAGCUCGUAGGCGGUGUGUCGCGUCGGCCGUGAAAACCUGCAGCUUAACUGUGGGCUUGCGGUCGAUACGGGCAUCACUGGAGUUCGGCAGGGGAGACUGGAAUUCCUGGUGUAGCGGUGAAAUGCGCAGAUAUCAGGAGGAACACCGGUGGCGAAGGCGGGUCUCUGGGCCGAUACUGACGCUGAGGAGCGAAAGCGUGGGGAGCAAACAGG